rnacentral:rRNA from 1 species
CCUACGGGAGGCAGCAGUAGGGAAUAUUGGGCAAUGGAGGCAACUCUGACCCAGCCAUGCCGCGUGCAGGAUGAAGGCGCUCAGCGUUGUAAACUGCUUUUAUCAGGGAAGAACUAUGGGGAUGCGUCCUUAUUUGACGGUACCUGAGGAAUAAGCACCGGCUAACUCCGUGCCAGCAGCCGCGGUAAUACGGAGGGUGCAAGCGUUGUCCGGAUUUAUUGGGUUUAAAGGGUGCGUAGGUGGUUUUUUAAGUCUGGUUUGAAAGCAAGUGGCUCAACCAUUUGAUGUGGCUGGAAACUGGGGAACUUGAAUGGAUUGGCGGUAGCCGGAACGGGUCAUGUAGCGGUGAAAUGCAUAGAUAUGACCCAGAACACCGAUUGCGAAGGCAGGCUACUACGAUUUGAUUGACACUGAGGCACGAGAGCAUGGGUAGCGAACAGGAUUAGAUACCCUGGUAGUCCAUGCCGUAAACGAUGAUUACUGGCUGUGUGUGUUNUAGCAUGCGUGGCGUGAGACGAAAGGACGGUUAAAGGUUAAACGUUACCGACCCGUACGGGGAGGGUACGGCGUGGCGAACGAAGUAGUAAACGUUAAAAUUAAGUAAGUUAGUACGGACGUUGAGACGUUGCCGACGGACGACGACGAGGGGAGGAGGG